AACUGUUGCCUCGGCGGGAUCUCUGCCCCGGGUGCGUCGCAGCCCCGGACCAAGGCGCCCGCCGGAGGACCAACCAAAACUCUUUUUGUAUACCCCCUCGCGGGUUUUCUAUAAUCUGAGCCUUCUCGGCGCCUCUCGUAGGCGUUUCGAAAAUGAAUCAAAACUUUCAACAACGGAUCUCUUGGUUCUGGCAUCGAUGAAGAACGCAGCGAAAUGCGAUAAGUAAUGUGAAUUGCAGAAUUCAGUGAAUCAUCGAAUCUUUGAACGCACAUUGCGCCCGCCAGUAUUCUGGCGGGCAUGCCUGUCCGAGCGUCAUUUCAACCCUCGAACCCCUCCGGGGGGUCGGCGUUGGGGAUCGGCCCUGCCUCUUGGCGGCGGCCGUCUCCGAAAUACAGUGGCGGUCUCGCCGCAGCCUCUCCUGCGCAGUAGUUUGCACACUCGCAUCGGGAGCGCGGCGCGUCCACAGCCGUUAAACACCCAACUUCUGAAAUGUUGACCUCGGAUCAGGUAGGAAUACCCGCUGAACUUAAGCAUAUCAAU
rnacentral:rRNA from 1 species